GAUGAACGCUGGCGGCGUGCCUAAUACAUGCAAGUCGAGCGAAUGACGAGGAGCUUGCUCCUCUGAUUUAGCGGCGGACGGGUGAGUAACACGUGGGUAACCUGCCUGUAAGACGGGGAUAACUCCGGGAAACCGGAGCUAAUACCGGAUGAUAGCGAGAAGCGCCUGCUUCUUUUUUGAAAGUCGGUUUCGGCUGACGCUUACAGAUGGGCCCGCGGCGCAUUAGCUAGUUGGUGAGGUAACGGCGCACCAAGGCGACGAUGCGUAGCCGACCUGAGAGGGUGAUCGGCCACACUGGGACUGAGACACGGCCCAGACUCCUACGGGAGGCAGCAGUAGGGAAUCUUCGGCAAUGGACGAAAGUCUGACCGAGCAACGCCGCGUGAGCGAUGAAGGCCUUCGGGUCGUAAAGCUCUGUUGUCAGAGAAGAACAAGUACCGGAGUAACUGCCGGUACCUUGACGGUACCUGACCAGAAAGCCACGGCUAACUACGUGCCAGCCGCCGCAGUAACAC
rnacentral:rRNA from 1 species